GACGAACGCUGGCGGCGUGCUUAACACAUGCAAGUCGAACGGUGAAGCGCCUUCCUUUUUGGUGGGUGUGGAUGAGUGGCGAACGGGUGAGUAACACGUGAGUAACCUGCCCCCUUCUUCUGGAUAACCGCAUGAAAGUGUGGCUAAUACGGGAUAUUCUGGGUCUGUCGCAUGAUGGGUCUGGGAAAGAUAUUGUUUCGGUGGGGGAUGGGCUCGCGGCCUAUCAGCUUGUUGGUGGGGUGAUGGCCUACCAAGGCGGUGACGGGUAGCCGGCCUGGGAGGGUGGACUGUCACACUGGGGAGGAGACACGGCCCCGACUCGUACGGGAGGCAGCAGUGGGGAAUAUUGCACAAUGGGCGCAAGCCUGAUGCAGCGACGCCGCGUGAGGGAUGGAGGCCUUCGGGUUGUGAACCUCUUUCGCCAGUGAAGCAGGCCUGCCUCGUUUGUGGGUGGGUUGACGGUAGCUGGAGAAGAAGCGCCGGCUAACUACGUG
rnacentral:rRNA from 1 species